rnacentral:lncRNA from 1 species
AGAGCAAAUCCUUUGAAAAUGACUAUAACCUUAAGUAAGAAAAUUACACUAGAACUUGACCAAAAAACACAUCAGAAAAGCAUAUAAAAAAUUAUCAUAAGGUGCAAGGAAGAUAGCUUUAGUUGUCUACUAGUAAAAUUUAUCCAUGCAAAAUAGAUUGAACUAACAUGGCUAAUAUUGAUUAAUCAAAGGCUACAAGCCUACAACAACAUAACACAACCCAAAAAAAAAAAAAAAAAUAUCCAUGCAAAAUAGAUUGAACUAACAUGGCUAAUAUUGAUUAAUCAAAGGCUACAAGCCUACAACAACAUAACACAACCCAAAAAAAAAAAAAAAAACUCAAGUGUUCAAAUAAUAGAUACACUACAAACUUAUAAUAACAAAAUGACACUUAAAAAAAAACUCCAUGAGAAUGUUUAUUCAGCCUCCAAAUUAUCAAAUUGCCAAGGAUUGAAUUCUGGUCUACUUUCAGGCUCCUCAAUGCAAUCAGAACUAUCUAUUCCGGCGCGAUGUUCUGUAUAUUUACCAUUGUAUUGGUAAACUUCCAAUUCACCCCAAGGUGUAGGUGUUACUUCCUCUGUUAGAUCAAACCAUCUAGAAACGAACUUCUGGUUCUUCGCCUCUCUGUUUCUUUUCUCGGCUCUUUGCCUCUCCUCCAAACUG